CCCACCACUAGCCGCCGCUCACGCCGCCCCCAACAUCGCAACGCUCACUGCUCUCUCCGGUCGGCCGCUGCACCGCGCCGUCGUCCUCAAACCCUCCUGCCGCCCCCACAGCACCCAUCCCCCCCGAGAUCGAACCCUCUACACCACCAAGGUGCUCCAUCCCCACCCCGUCACCAAGAACUCCGGCCUCUUCGUCAUCCUGGGUGCCGGGCAGAUCCCGGGGAAGACUAUGUCGGCCGUGGAGAAGCACUUCCCACGCUAUCUUGCUUACGUCGGCCCCACGUCGUCCUGCCUACCAGUGCCCCCCACGCGGCCCUGCUCCCCGCCGUUGCCCCCUCCAGGUUGCCGGCUGCGGAGAUUUAUGUCCGUGCGAACAUCCCGGUGAGGCAUCUCUCUCUCUCUCCUGACAACCAAAUUCAUCUCACAGAUCGGAAACAUCAGUGCCAGUGGGUUCUUCUUCAGAGACCAUCCAUUUGACGUUCUGCCCCGAGACCCGAGGACCUUCUUAUGUGCGGAUGUUAAAAGACAUGCCUUCUUUGUACCAUUCGCGAUCUGAAGAGACCAAAGUGAGUUCAGAGUGUACGUAUUUCUCAAAUUAGUUCUUGAGUGGACUAUUUGCGUCUAUGCUCUUCAAUCAUUGCAAACCUAUUUAUGAUAUUCCCGUUGUGCUUCUGUUGGACAACUUCAGAUUUGUGGGCAAAACUUUUUUCAUAAUCAGACAUUUAUAUGUAUAAAUCUUAUUCAAUACAAAUAUCAUUUGUCCUUGCCAACGGGCACCCAGAAAACAUUAUUUGUUUGAAGUAAAGUACACACAUGUAGCAUUUGAGAGGGGAUACAAAAUAGUUUUGUAAAAUAAGCUGGCCAUGAUCUGAAAUCUGAUUCUGAACUCUGUCGUGUUUUCUACAGCACUAACGUGUUAAUGUAGAUGGAAUUGGAUUAUGAAACCAGCCUUACCAUGAUAAAAGUACUGAACCUGACAUCUACAACAAUAUAUUCCUUGCAUAAUCUCUUGCUUUUCCUUGAUGAGAAGCCUUAUGUUCAACAUGUAUAUUUCAGAUUUUGUUUUUUCAGGUUAUUUUUGUGUGGACAAUGUAUGAUACAACCUGUAUAAUAUUGUUGGUGAACAUUUAUGGCAGUGCCUGACAAAAGAAGGCAGCCAAACCUACUAACCAGCGGGAUCCGAAUGAUGUGUGGAUUUCCAAAAGGAAGAAGAAGGCCAUUCACAAGACCACGACCACUGAUGGCAAGAUCACGACCUUGAAAAUGAGCUGCAAGAUAUUCUGGCAACACUUAUCAACCAACUGGAGCUAGUCAUCCAUGGUGGCAACGGCAUCGGUAAGAUCUCACCUUGCUUUUUUACUUGGAUUUAUAGCCUGGGUUUGUUGGUGAAGUAAUGAUCGAAGGAGAUAUUAAAUUGUUGUCUGUGAUAGCAAAUGGCUUGCCUACAACAGAGGACUUUGAGCAUGUCACUGAUUUGGAAAUAUUGAAGGUUCCACCUAUCCCCAUGGAUAAAUUCAUUUAUCUUUUUAUUGGGUUAAUCUCUACAGCAAAUAAUUUUAAACAUAGAAUAGUGGUUCGUAGAACUGGGGUAUCAUGCGUGGGUAGUGACUACCUUAUUGAAGAUCCUUCUUCCUGUUUUGAUUGCAUUUUCGUUCACUAUGUACUUGGUUACACCUUGUCACAAGAUAGCACUCUUCAAAAUUUUGUCAAAACUCUUCUUGUGUUCUGUUUAUUCUAGAAUUACAGCUCCCCACUUCGUGGUCAAUACUUAUGUGCCUCUUUUGCUGCCUUUGAUAAUAGCAUAAAAAUGAGGUGGUGAACGAGGAGCUCUCGAAUGAAGCACAGACAUAUGGAGACAUCGAGUUGCUGUUGUUUGUUGAUUGUUAUAACAAGUGGUACAUAAAUUCGUAUGUAUCUUUUUAUGGCACAGGGAAACUCUUUGCGUGAUGUAAACUUAAAUAAACUAAUGAUGGAAACUUACUACUACUGGCGUUUUG